UAUUGGCUCCAACAUUAGAUUGAAAUGAUACAGUUGAACUAGUUAAAGGAUUGAUGCCUGAUGAUACAUUUAAACCAGACUGUGUUCCAGACCCAGACCCAACCAUCCCUCUCUGCAUAUAGAAGGAAGCAGAGCCAGAUAUCGCCAUAGCAUCCCUUCGAUCCAUGCAUUUACUAUACUCAACAGUCCGUCUUAACUCUUGAUCAAAUCUGGACCCCGUUUUCAAUUAAUCACAAUAUUUAGAUGCCUCUUAUCUUCUUUACAGUUCAGUCCAAGGGCAAACUUUGACGAAAUGCACUCUGCAAGCAGUAACGAAGGAUCCUUCUCCACAGGAUAUUGUCUCUAAAUCUCGAACGAAUAUGGAAAGGUACAUAAAACAAAUAAAAGCACUUUAAAAUGGAGUCGC
rnacentral:misc_RNA from 1 species